rnacentral:tRNA from 3 species
AGAAAGCAUGCAAGAACUGCUAAUUCAUGCUCCCCGUGUUUACAUCCACGGCUUUCUU